AUGGUGCUGCCUUGUUUUGGUUCGCUAAGGUCCGCACCGAAACAUCGUCACGGUCGACUACGUUUUGCUGUCCCGACCGGAACCAUCAAGUACUCGAGACACAAUGGCGCCAAGUACCAAUACGAACGUGAACGACUACCAUCGAUUGUGUACAACUACCGCUGCCGUGGUUUUCACAAACGUCGUGAGCCUCUACUUCCACUACCGCCGACGCGUACCUCUCCGUUGCCAUGGGUUUCGUCAAGUCCAACGGUGAACCCCGAAGUCAUCGGAUCUGUCAAGUCUAACAACGACUAUGUACAACUAUCGGCGACCACGAACGUCUACGAAACAUGUACCACGACCAUCGCGGAAGACCCCGUGGACAUCAAGUUCCGUGUCGUGACCCCGAACAUCUACGAAGCGAGAAUGACUACUUCCACUACCGCCGUCACGAGAACGCCUACUUCCCUCUACGAACUUGAUCCGUUCCAAAAAGUCUCAUCUCAAAGGUAUAACCCCGAGACGACGCCCGUGAACGAAUGA
rnacentral:rRNA from 1 species